CUAACAAGGAUUCCCUCAGUAGCGGCGAGCGAACAGGGAAGAGUCCAGCACCGAACCUCGCGCUUGGUUAAGCGGGCGCCGAGGAAUGUGGUGUUCGGGAGGACCGUGCGCGUCUGUCCGGUAUAUCGUCCAAGUCUUCAUGAACGAGGCGAGCAACCCACAGAGGGUGUCAGGCCCGUAGGCUGACGAGCCGAGACCGUGUACCGGGUCCUUUCCCAAGAGUCGGGUUGCUUGAGCGUGCAGCCCUAAGCGGGAGGUAAACUCCUUCUAAGGCUAAAUAUCGCCACGAGACCGAUAGCGAACAAGUACCGCGAGGGAAAGUUGAAAAGAACUUUGAAGAGAGAGUUCAAGAGUGCGUGAAACCGUUCAGGGGGUUAAACGGGUGGGCCCUCGAAGGUCGAAACGUGUCCCCGCUCCCGCUACGUGGAGGCCGGACGCUAGUGGCGACCGAUCCGUCAAAAAGACGGUCGCCGUCUGCGCUUUUUCCGGCGGCUCUCCACGGGCUGCAAGUGGGGGACCUAGUAGGACUCCGCGACCGACUGGGNGGCUGUUAUAAGGGGCGCCNAUUUACNAAGGNGGGGUGUUGGGCUUCGGUCCUCCGUCCCGUCCGAGUGCGGCGCUUCCGAGCAGUCCUGCCCGGUCGUGACCUGUCAUCCGCCCGCGCGACUUUACGGUCGCGACGUCGGCGGACCCAGAGCGGAGAGUAGAAGUCGGGUCCCACCCGACCCGUCUUGAAACACGGACCAAGGAGUCUAACAUGUGCGCGAGUCGUCGAGUCAUUAACGAAACUCGUGAGGCGCAAUGAAAGUGAAGCAGCCCUGAAGAAGGUGUUCUGUACGGGAAGAUCUCUUCUUUUUUUCAAACCGGAGAGAGCGCAUUCCCGGGGCGUUCGAAGCCGCGACUUAGCCGGCCGAACGAACCUAGAGCGUACACGUUGGGACCCGAAAGAUGGUGACCUAUGCCUGGCCAGGACGAAGCCAGGGGAAACCCUGGUGGAGGUCCGCAGCGAUUCUGACGUGCAAAUCGAUCGUCGGAGUUGGGUAUAGGGGCGAAAGACUAAUCGAACCAUCUAGUAGCUGGUUCCCCCCGAAGUUUCCCUCAGGAUAGCUGGUGCUCGCAAGGAAAACGAACGGAGUUUCAUCCGGUAAAGCGAAUGAUUAGAGGCCUUGGGGUCGAAACGACCUCAACCUAUUCUCAAACUUUCAAUGGGUGAGAAGCCCGGCCUUCGAUUCUUGAUUGAGGCCGGGCAUUAGAAUCUGAGCGCCCAGUGGGCCAUUUUUGGUAAGCAGAACUGGCGCUGUGGGAUGAACCAAACGCCCGGUUAAGGCGCCAAAACAACGCACAUUUCGGAUCCCACGAAAAGGAGUUGGUUGCUAAAGACAGCAGGACGGUGGCCAUGGAGGUCGGAACCCGCUCAGGAGUGUGUAACAACUCACCUGCCGAAGCAACUAGCCCUUAAAAUGGGAGGCGCUAUAGCGUUGUGCCUAUACCGGGCCGCCGGUCGGCAGUGUACAACGUAUUCUCCUCGAAGAGAGGCAGAGACGCUGAGGCCCCGGCGAGUAGGGGGGUCGCGACGGUGAGCGUUGAAGGGUUGUGGGCGUGAGCCUGCCCGGAGCCGCCGUCGGUGCAGAUCUUGGUGGUAGUAGCAAAUACUCCAGAGGGAUCCUGGAGGACUGACGCGGAGAAGGGUUUCAUGUGAACAGUGGUUGGACAUGAGUCAGUCGAUCCUAAGCCGCAGGAGAAAUCCGACCUAGUGUACUGGCGUGAUUUUAUACUGUCGACAGUGUGUCACGGUGUGUGUGUGUGUGUNCGUGUGUGUNUGNGCUNGNGNGAGAGCGUACGNNNGGGGGCAUAUAUAUNCACNUUACACAUCGUCAUACGAGACAUAUUUAUCAAGAGGCGCCGCUGGGUGAAGGCGAAAGGGAAUCCGGUCCUAAUUCCGGAACCAGGCUGCGGCUACGUCCGCGAAAUACGAAUUAACCCUCGUUUUCUCGGUCGCGGCAACGCGACACAAACCGGAGAAGCUGUCGAGAACCCCGGGAAGAGUUUUCUUUUCUGCUUGAGGGACCGAGACCAUGGAAUUCCGUCGUGGAGCGAGAUGGUUUUGGAUACACGCUGUUAAAAAGGCGAUCCCGAAGAGCGCCGCGUUUCUGCGGCGUCCGUGGUCGUUCUCGACUGGCCCUUGAAAAUCCGGCGGGAGGGUUACGUUUUUGGACGUUCGCGCCUGCUCGUACCG
rnacentral:rRNA from 1 species